UACGUAGGCAGCGAGCGUUGUUCGGAGUUACUGGGCGUAAAGAGUGCGUAGGCGGUUUUCUAAGUUUGGUGUGAAAUCUCCCGGCUUAACUGGGAGGGUGCGCCGAAGACUGGAAGGCUUGAGUAUGGGAGAGGUAAGCGGAAUUCCUGGUGUAGCGGUGAAAUGCGUAGAUAUCGGAAGGAACAUCAGUGGCGAAAGCGGCUUCCUGGACCAGUACCGACGUUCAGGCACGAAAGCGUGGGGAGCAAACAGG
rnacentral:rRNA from 1 species